GUGAGUAGUUCAGAGUUUGAUCCUGGCUCAGGAUGAACGCUGGCGGCGUGCUUAACACAUGCAAGUCGAACGGAGUUACUCUUCGGAGUAACUUAGUGGCGAACGGGUGAGUAACGCGUGAGGAACCUGCCUUUCAGUGGGGGACAACAGUUGGAAACGACUGCUAAUACCGCAUAAUACUGCGAAGCGGCAUCGCUUUGUAGUCAAAGAUUUAUUGCUGAAAGAUGGCCUCGCGUCUGAUUAGCUAGUUGGUGGGGUAACGGCCCACCAAGGCGACGAUCAGUAGCCGGACUGAGAGGUUGACCGGCCACAUUGGGACUGAGAUACGGCCCAG
rnacentral:rRNA from 1 species